CAGCCACCUUUUAAAACGCGUCAAAGCGUAACCUUAAUCUCACAAAAUACCAUCAACCUUCAUGAACCCUUAAUUUAUAAUGAAUGACUCCAUAUUAAUAUGGAAGACACCAUGUUAGGAUUAGUAACAAGAAUUUAUAAUUCUCCAAAAUGCAAAUAUAAACCAACAUGGAUCGACCAUUGGUAAUUACCGAACCUAAACCUACUGCAAUAACGCCACAAGAAAACCCUGCAGUAUUUACUCGUUAACCUAACACUAGCGCAUUCCAGGAAAGAUUUAAAAAAAGAGAAGGAAUUCGGCAAAUGACGGCCCCGCCUGUUUACCAAAAACAUCGCCUCUUGGCUAUAAUAAGAGGUCCAGCCUGCCCAGUGAAUUUUAAACGGCCGCGGUAUCCUAACCGCGCGAAGGUAGCAUAAUCACUUGUUCUUUAAAUGGGGACUCGUAUCAACGGCAUCACGAGGGUUUUACUGUCUCCUCUUUUUGAUCAGUGAAAUUGAUCUUCCCGUGAAGAAGCGGGAAUAUUAAUAUAAGACGAGAAGACCCCAUGGAGCUUCAAACCAAAUAACAACUUAACCACUUAACCCAUAAUAAAUUUAAGCCAUGUUAUAAGGUUUUGGGUUGGGGUGACCGCGGAGUAAAGCACAUCCUCCACGACGGAAAGAACACAAUCUUUAUUUAAGAACUACAAUUCUAGAAAUUAGUAUACUAACGUUUACUGACCCGAUAAUCGAUCAACGGACCAAGUUACCCUGGGGAUAACAGCGCAAUCUACUUCAAGAGCUCAUAUCGACAAGUAGGCUUACGACCUCGAUGUUGGAUCAGGGUAUCCCGGUGGUGCAGCCGCUACCGAAGGUUCGUUUGUUCAACGAUUAAAACCCUACGUGAU
rnacentral:rRNA from 1 species